UACGUAGGGACCAAGCGUUGUUCGGAUUUACUGGGCGUAAAGGGCGCGUAGGCGGCGCGACAAGUCACUUGUGAAAUCUCUGAGCUUAACUCAGAACGGCCAAGUGAAACUGUUGUGCUAGAGUGCAGAAGGGCAAUCGGAAUUCUUGGUGUAGCGGUGAAAUGCGUAGAUAUCAAGAGGAACACCUGAGGUGAAGACGGGUUGCUGGGCUGACACUGACGCUGGAAGCGCGAAAGCCAGGGGAGCGAACGGG
rnacentral:rRNA from 1 species